GCUCGCGUAGCUCAGUUGGUAGAGCGCUCGGCUGUUAACCGAAAGGUCGAUGGUUCGAACCCAUCCGUGAGCG
rfam:Oxytricha trifallax strain JRB310 Contig22850.0 macronuclear, whole genome shotgun sequence.